AACGAACGCUGGCGGCAGGCUUAACACAUGCAAGUCGAACGCAUCCUUCGGGGUGAGUGGCAGACGGGUGAGUAACGCGUGGGAACGUGCCCUUCAGUUCGGGAUAACCCAGGGAAACUUGGGCUAAUACCGGAUACGUGCGAGAGCAGAAAGAUUUAUCGCUGAAGGAUCGGCCCGCGUCUGAUUAGCUAGUUGGUGGGGUAAUGGCCCACCAAGGCGACGAUCAGUAGCUGGUCUGAGAGGAUGAUCAGCCACAUUGGGACUGAGACACGGCCCAAACUCCUACGGGAGGCAGCAGUGGGGAAUAUUGGACAAUGGGCGCAUGCUUGAUCCAGCCAUGCCGCGUGAGUGAUGAAGGCCUUAGGGUUGUAAAGCUCUUUCGUCCGGGACGAUAAUGACGGUACCGGAAGAAGAAGCCCCGGCUAACUUCGUGCCAGCCGCCGCGGUAA
rnacentral:rRNA from 1 species